AGGUGACCUCGGAUCAGGUAGGGAUACCCGCUGAACUUAA
rnacentral:rRNA from 1 species